rnacentral:rRNA from 1 species
GACGUAGGGUCCAAGCGUUGUCCGGAUUUACUGGGCGUAAAGGGCGCGUAGGCGGUUUCGUAAGUCCCGUGUGAAAGCCCCCGGCUCAACUGGGGAAUUGCACGGGAAACUGCGAGGCUUGAGUUCGGGAGAGGGAAGCGGAAUUCCGGGUGUAGCGGUGAAAUGCGUAGAUAUCCGGAGGAACACCGGUGGCGAAGGCGGCUUCCUGGACCGACACUGACGCUGAGGCGCGAAAGCUAGGGGAGCAAACGGG